UCAAUAAGCGGAGGAAAAGAAACUAACAAGGAUUCCCCUAGUAACUGCGAGUGAAGCGGGAAAAGCUCAAAUUUAAAAUCUGGUGGUCUUUGGCCAUCCGAGUUGUAAUUUAGAGAAGCGUCUUCCGCGCUGGACCGUGCACAAGUCUCCUGGAAUGGAGCGUCAUAGAGGGUGAGAAUCCCGUCUUUGGCACGGACGCACCAGGGCUUUUGCGAUGCGCUCUCGAAGAGUCGAGUUGUUUGGGAAUGCAGCUCAAAAUGGGUGGUGAACUCCAUCUAAAGCUAAAUAUUGGCGAGAGACCGAUAGCGAACAAGUACCGUGAGGGAAAGAUGAAAAGCACUUUGGAAAGAGAGUGAAACAGUACGUGAAAUUGUUGAAAGGGAAACGCUUGAAGUCAGUCGCGUUGACCGAGACUCAGCCUCGCCUCGGCUUGGUGUACUUCUCGGCCCGACGGGUCAGCAUCGAUUUCGACCCUUGGAUAAUGGCGAGGGAAACGUGACACCUUUGGGUGUGUUAUAGUCUCUCGUCGCAUGCGAGGGUCGGGAUCGAGGAACUCAGCACGCGCCUUUGGGUGUCGGGGUUUUGCCCACGAUACGUGCUUAGGAUGUUGGCAUAAUGGCUUUAAACGACCCGUCUUGAAACACGGACCAAGGAGUCUAACAUGCCCGCGAGUGUUCGGGUGGAAAACCCGUGCGCGCAAUGAAAGUGAAAGUUGGGACCUCCGUCGUGGAGGGCACCGACGCCCGGACCAGACCUUCUGUGACGGCUCUGCGGUAGAGCGUGCAUGUUAGGACCCGAAAGAUGGUGAACUAUGCCUGAAUAGGGUGAAGCCAGAGGAAACUCUGGUGGAGGCUCGUAGCGAUUCUGACGUGCAAAUCGAUCGUCAAAUUUGGGUAUAGGGGCGAAAGACUAAUCGAACCAUCUAGUAGCUGGUUCU
rnacentral:rRNA from 1 species